UACGGAGGGUGCGAGCGUUGUCCGGAAUUAUUGGGCGUAAAGCGCGCGCAGGCGGUUUCUUAAGUCUGAUGUGAAAGCCCACGGCUCAACCGUGGAGGGUCAUUGGAAACUGGGGAACUUGAGUGCAGAAGAGAAAAGCGGAAUUCCACGUGUAGCGGUGAAAUGCGUAGAGAUGUGGAGGAACACCAGUGGCGAAGGCGGCUUUUUGGUCUGUAACUGACGCUGAGGCGCGAAAGCGUGGGGAGCAAACAGG
rnacentral:rRNA from 1 species